rnacentral:rRNA from 1 species
AAGACCUUGCGCUUUUGGAGCGGCCGAUGCCUGAUUAGCUUGUUGGUAAGGUAAAAGCUUACCAAGGCUUCGAUCAGUAGCUGGUCUGAGAGGACGACCAGCCACACUGGGACUGAGACACGGCCCAGACUCCUACGGGAGGCAGCAGUGGGGAAUUUUGGACAAUGGGGGCAACCCUGAUCCAGCCAUGCCGCGUGAGUGAAGAAGGCCUUCGGGUUGUAAAGCUCUUUCAGCCGGAACGAAACGGUUACGGAUAACACCCGUGGCUACUGACGGUACCGGAAGAAGAAGCACCGGCUAACUACGUGCCAGCAGCCGCGGUAAUACGUAGGGUGCGAGCGUUAAUCGGAAUUACUGGGCGUARAGCGUGCGCAGGUGGUUUUGUAAGUCAGAUGUGAAAGCCCCGGGCUCAACCUGGGAACU